rnacentral:lncRNA from 1 species
AUCCUUUUUCCUCGCGAGCCUGACUCUGACUCAACUCCGCAGCUUUUCUCCACCUGCGCGUCCUCGCGCCCUCCGUUGGGCCCAGCCGCCUCAGGCGAGUCCCCAAGGGGUCCCACCCGCCGCUGCCCCCCCCCCCUUCCCGGUCGCUCGCCCGACCCCGCCCCCACCUCCCCGCAAGGUGUCGCCGCCGCCGCGGGCUCCCGGGAGGAGGCGCUUCGAGGCUGGCGGGAGGCUCCGGGUGACGCGGCCCGGCUUGGCCCGGCCGCCGCCCGCGGGAACAGCAAGGGGAGCAGACCCCACAGCCUGUGCCGCACCGGUGCUCGGAUAGGCGCCGCAGCCCCGGCGUCCCAUUACCUGCUCCGGGCAGCCGCGGCCGGCGGGAGGCGCGAUCGCUCUGGCCCCUGCAGCCCCGGGUCGGGAGACGAGGAGGCAGCGACCGCAGCCGCCGCAAAGGACAAUCAGGAGCCAGCGGGCUCGGCACCGCCUCGGCGGGCGCAGAACGCACGAGCCCAGCGGGAGCCCGGCCCCCACCUUCAGCCCGGCUGCGACGGAGGUAGGCGUCUCGGACUUGAAGACGGCCUCGACAGCAGAGCUCUCUCAUUGGUCGGUAAGAGAAAACAAAGCGGCGGUCUGAUUGGUGAGAGCUCUGUAGCUCCUCUCCCUCUCCCCUCAAUCAUCGGAAGCUCCGCCCCUACCCGCUUGGUUCCCAGGUGGCUGCCUAACGCGUUGUCUGGCAGACCUGCAACGUCUCCGAAGCGAAGAAACCCGGAUACCCAGGUUUCUUUGCCAGAGUCACCAAAGAAGUGGACAUUCAUUCACCAGGCCAGCCUAUCAGGCAUAGAUCUAAAUUAGGACAGAGCUGAAGCCCUCGGAGUGAGAGAUCUGUUCUACCAGUUCCGGCCUUUAGCGUGCUUCUGACCAUGGCUUUCUCUUUACUGGUUGAACUCACACCAUUACCAGAUAUCUGUAAGAAAAGAGAGCCCCCCCCCCCCACCCCCCGACCCUGCACUGUGGAGGGCUAAUCAGUGGAAAUGCUGAGAAUGUCAAAAUAUCUUGGUGCAUCCAGCUGGUAGUGGCAGGUGAAUCAAAAGAUGCAGCAACUAAAUAAGUUAAAAAGUAAAUAAAAAAUGUAACCACUGAAAUGUAUGGCA